rnacentral:rRNA from 1 species
GGAUAACCUGCCCUUGGGUCCGGCAUAACCCCGGGAAACUGGGGAUAAUUCCGGAUAACGCACAUAUGCUGGAAUGCUUUAUGCGUCAAAUGGAUUCGUCUGCCCAAGGAUGGGUCUGCGGCCUAUCAGGUAGUAGUGGGUGUAAUGUACCUACUAGCCGACGACGGGUACGGGUUGUGAGAGCAAGAGCCCGGAGAUGGAUUCUGAGACAUGAAUCCAGGCCCUACGGGGCGCAGCAGGCGCGAAAACUUUACAAUGCGGGAAACCGUGAUAAGGGGACACCGAGUGCCAGCAUCAUAUGCUGGCUGUCCAGGUGUGUAAAAUACACCUGUUAGCAAGGGCCGGGCAAGACCGGUGCCAGCCGCCGCGGUAACACCGGCGGCCCGAGUGGUGAUCGUGAUUAUUGGGUCUAAAGGGUCCGUAGCCGGUUUGGUCAGUCCUCCGGGAAAUCUGAUAGCUCAACUAUUAGGCUUUCGGGGGAUACUGCCAGACUUGGAACCGGGAGAGGUAAGAGGUACUACAGGGGUAGGAGUGAAAUCUUGUAAUCCCUGUGGGACCACCUGUGGCGAAGGCGUCUUACCAGAACGGGUUCGACGGUGAGGGACGAAAGCUGGGGGCACGAACCGGAUUAGAUACCCGGGUAGUCCCAGCCGUAAACGAUGCUCGCUAGGUGUCAGGCAUGGCGCGACCGUGUCUGGUGCCGCAGGGAAGCCGUGAAGCGAGCCACCUGGGAAGUACGGCCGCAAGGCUGAAACUUAA